UUAACACAUGCAAGUCGAACGAGGGCCCGGAGCUUGCUCUGGUGACCCGAGUGGCGGACGGGUGAGUAACACGUGACCAACCUACCUUCGGGAGGGGGACAACCUGGGGAAACCUGGGCUAAUACCGCAUAUCGUCCACGGGUCGCAUGACCUGUGGAUAAAAGGGAGCCUCUGCUUGCAUGCUCUCACCCGAAGAGGGGGUCGCGGCGUAUCAGCUAGUUGGUGGGGUAAUGGCCUACCAAGGCAUCGACGCGUAGCGGGUCUGAGAGGACGACCCGUCACAUUGGGACUGAGAUACGGCCCAGACUCCUACGGGAGGCAGCAGUGGGGAAUAUUGCGCAAGGCCGAAAGGUUGACGCAGCGACGCCGCGUGUGGGAGGACGCCCUUCGGGGUGUAAACCACUGUCAGGGGGGAAGAACUUCGCAGGUGUGAAUAGCGCUUGCGGUUGACGGUACCCCCAGAGGAAGCGCCGGCUAACUCCGUGCCAGCAGCCGCGGUAAGACGGAGGGCGCAAGCGUUGUUCGGAAUUACUGGGCGUAAAGGGCAGGUAGGUGGUCUGUUAAGUCUUCUGUGAAAACCC
rnacentral:rRNA from 1 species